UACGGGGGGGGCAAGCGUUGUUCGGAAUUACUGGGCGUAAAGGGCUCGUAGGCGGCCAACUAAGUCGGAUGUGAAAUCCCUAGGCUUAACCUGGGAACUGCAUCCGAUACUGGAUGGCUUGAAUCCGGGAGAGGGAUGCAGAAUUCCAGGUGUAGCGGUGAAAUGCGUAGAUAUCUGGAGGAAUACCGGUGGCGAAGGCGGCAUCCUGGACCGGCAUUGACGCUGAUGAGCGAAAGCUAGGGGAGCAAACGGGG
rnacentral:rRNA from 1 species